GUCUACGGCCAUGCCACCCUGAACAAAUCUGGUCUCAGAAGCUAAGUAGGGUCGGACCUGGUUAGUACUUGGAUGGGAGACCACCUAGGAAAAGCAGGUGCUGUAGGCA
rnacentral:rRNA from 1 species